CGAGCCAAAGACUUGAGAAAAGUGUUACACCCCAGGAUUUUCUUGCCACAAAGUGAGAUUAUAUUAGCAACAGAUGAAGAAGGAAGCAAUCAGAAGAAUCAGCACCAAGCACAGCAGUGUCUACACAUCAUGCUCUCUGAAAAAGUGAUCAGCUGCCAACAACACAUAUGCCAGCAGCACUAUCAUCUUCUGUGGAACACUUCCUUGAGAUAGGCAUCCUGCCAAGCUGUGGAUGAGUUUUCUACCUGAGAAGUUCUCUAACAACUUCUGGAGCUGUUUUGGCUAUCUCAGAGAGCUGUGGACUUGGACAGGCAACGAAGGAAACCUUCCCUUCCCAGAAAUUUUAACCAAGCUGGAUGAAUUUCUGGGAGAGAGCUUAAGUGGCUGACACUGAUGGGAAAGAUAAUCAGUGCUAGGGUGAAUGCUUAGCUUCACUGACUCAGACAUUGCUCAGUUAAUGCUACGUUCAGUACUUGCAAGAUCCCAGCACAGCUCUUGUGGCUUUCCCCAUUGGUUUACUUCAAUGAGUAUCAGUUCCUGGUUGGGCCAAAGUGGAAGCAGAAGAGAGGCAUGCACGGACAGAUGCAAGCUGUAUGGGUCCUUACAGCUGAACUACUGCUCUGUGAUAAAAUACAGCAAAGAAGUACAAAGAAGUCAUGCACAAAUUCAAGCUGGAAAGCAGAAGGUAUUGAACUAUUAGAGCAGGGAGAUAGAGAUCUUGCAACACACUAUUCAUAGGAGCAGCAGGAGGCAAACCAAUAUGAUUAUUUUAAAGAUGGAGCAAUGCUGUGCUUGUGAAAGGGAAGUGUGGUAAUAAAAUGAUAUGACCUUGGUGCUCCAAGAAAUCCUAAUGCUUCCUUGGUCCAUAGGAAGGAUGGGUGUAAGGAAGCUGCUUAUUCACGUAGGGCACAAGAAUUUAAUUGCUCUAUAUUCUGGAGAUGUGUUUCACUGGAUGCCUGUAACGUGAGUGGGGAAACACUAGUAGCUUCAAAUGCAGAUUACUCCAUCAAAACAAGAACUGAAGCCUCUCUUAUUCUUUUCUUUAGACUUGUGGUUAAUGAAACCCUGGGAACAUGUCCCUUGCCCAAUUAAGCAUCAAUUAUUACCAAAUGUCUGAAGAGAAGUGUCAUGUUUCAGUGUUGUUUCUCACCAAAAAAUCCCCAGCAACGCUUCCAAAAGCAACUGUGUUGACCUU